ACGCCAUUUUACUUUUCUCUGUAAUGAUUAUCUAAUUUUUAUUUUUAUGAACACAAGGUCAACAACCUAGCCUUGCCAAUUCAGUUAGAUGGCUUCAAAUUCAGACAUCCAUUGCCACUGAUCUACGUUUUGAGUUGAAGGAGCUAAUUCCAAAAUAUCAGGUUCGUUCUGUUAUUUUAAGCUUUGGCAGUGAUACCUAUUUCUGUAUACAUACAAAGUCUUCUUUUUCAUCAUAUAAUAAACAAAUUUAAGGCAAAAAUAAUAAUUGAUAUGGAGAAUAUGGAGUAGUUUUCCUUUCCUAAUGAUUAGGAUUAGUGCCAAAAUUGCAUGUGUCUUAGUUAUUACUAUUGGCAAUAUGCUAAUAAGCUGAUCAACUCAUUAUUAGUUCAGACUUUAGACUAUGUUACCAUUUUAGAGUGUACUCGGAAAAUUAAGUGAAAGAAGCUAAGCCAUGUAUAUCAGUAUAUGUAUCUUGUGAAAUGCAUGCAACAGAUUGGUGCUCUUAAUUAUUAAUAAAAUACUUCCAUAA